CCCCUCGGGCUCUCGCGUUGCCUUGCCCCGAGGCCCUCCCCCGGCUGCCAUGUGGCGGGGGAGCGAGAGGGGAGGAAACCCAGGCUGAACAGCCAUCAAUGCGCGGCGCCCCAACUGUCCCUCACUGCGUUUAAUGUGGUAAGGACGGACGUGCGGUGCCGCACCACUGACCCACGUCAAUCGGGUCUGACCAGUCUGUGAUCGGCCUGUCGCCGGUCACGUUCGACUGAAUGGGCGGCCGUGCCCCCACGUCGCCUCUGUAUCCGGCGGAGUGGAGGUAGGUAUGUCCCGUCCCAUCGAAAAGUCAUUCGGAGUUCCCUCCGUGAGAGGAGGACCGCCACAAGUCUUCACUCAUUUAUGAGGGAAUGACAGGGCUGUCCCCCGUGUCAGGCUGGGGGGGGACGUUGGGUCCCGCUCAAGGACGGACUGCUGCUUAGCUUCCGGGCGAAGGUACGGGUCGCAGUCCGGUCAAGGUAGUGGGUCCCCCUCCCGUAGAAGAGUAGGCAGAGGCGGUGCAUGCGGUAUCCCCUUAAACUAUACAAGGAUGACCUUGCCCACCGAGAAAAGGGACGACUCUCAGUAAGCCUGAACUCUAGGAGAAGAGAAGUGGGAGCGCUCUCCGGAGUUUAGGAACCCUUGUAACACUCCAUAAUCUCACACACAGGAGUAGGGUAUUACGCUCCAUAGCGGCCCGAACCUAUAUAAUCUUAGUGCCCACACGCGUUUUAGUAGCAUUGAGGGCGGAUUCACGAUCUCCCCACGCGAGCCUUUUCCCCCGGCCGAACUCACUAAAGGGGGAUCUCACGAUCUCCCGCUAGAGAGGAUCACUCCUCGACAGCUGGCGCGCCAGGUAGAAGGAAUUCGCGCGCUUCAAAGGGAAGUCGUUUCCUUCCGCCCCAAGUUCUCCUCUACCUUCGACGAUCAUGGUCGAGGUCUUGGAGGAAGAGGUGGUGGUGCACACCCCCAUUCCCUCCGGGAGUGAGGAUGCUAGCGGGAGUCGCGGCCCCCGUCACCGUCGCCGCAACUGGCGAACUCCGCCCCGUCGCGACCCCCCGCGGAGGGAGGAUCCCACCCGGUCGGGUGGCUCGGCCCUCUCCCCGCCUCCCGGCGGGGGGAGGCCACGGCGCGUCGGAGCACGUCGCCGCCUGACAUACGGCGACGGUGACUCGCCCCGAGGCGCGCUUCAGGCGGCGGGAGCCCUUCUACGGCAUCCUCCGGUGAACGCGGAGCAUCCUCAGGUUGGUGACGUCGCCAACCUGGUCACCACUGCCCAGCGACAGCUGACCGCGGGUGGCCGUUCCACCGCCACUGGUACGUCACGUACCCCCACCACCCUCUCCUCAUCAGCAAGGAGGAGGGCCCGUCGGUCGGCCACGGCCUUGAGGCGAUCCACGGCCCCAACGUCGUCGGGGGCCUCGGGAAGUCGGAGGCAUCACGAUGACCUCUACGAGGAGCAGGACGCUCGAAUCAACAUCGAGCAACACCGGGACGAGCGCCGCGCUGCCCGCAUGGGAGAAGGCGCCUCCUCGUCUGGAGUGCCGCGUUCCUCCUCGCGAGGCGGCCCGCCCCCCACGUUCACCCCUGGAGGGACUGCUUGUAGGGCCUUCGUUGUGAGUCUCCGGAAUGUCCGGUGACCCCCGAAGUUUUGCCCCAACCUCACGGAGAAGUAUGAUGGCAGCAUCAAUCCCUCCGAGUUCCUCCAGAUCUAUACCACGAUCAUCGUGGCGGCGGGGAGGGGGGGGACGACCGGGUCAUGGCGAAUUAUUUCCCCAUGGCUCUUAAGGGUCAGGCGCGCGACUGGCUCAUGACCCAGCCCCCCGACUCCAUCCACUCCUAGGAGGACCUGUGCCAGCAGUUCAUUACGAACUUCUAGGGCACGUACCCCCGCCCAGGAGAGGAGACGGACCUGCAUGCUCUGCAGCGAAAGGACGAUGAGCCCCUCCGCUCGUAUAUACAGCGCUUCUGCCAGGUCCGCAACACUAUUCCGUGCAUUCCGGCUCACGCGAUCGUUUAUACGUUUCGGAACGGCGUGCGGCACAAUCGCAUGCUAGAGAAGAUCGCCUCCAAGGAGCCCAAGACCACCGCCGAGCUCUUCAAGCUGGCGGACAAGGUGGCUCGGAAGGAGGAGGCGUGGGCCUGGAACUCCCCUAGCACCGGCGCGGCAGCUGCGGCUGCCCCCGAAUCCGUUACCCGCUCUAAGCGGCGAGAUACGAGGGGCAAAAGGAAGCCAGCCCGCUCCGACGACGAGGGCCACGUCCUUGCGGCCGAUGGGCCCUCACGGGCCCCGCGCAAGGAAAAAGCCACCGGCGAUAAGCCGAGCUCCACCGCUCCCUCCGGAGAGGGUCGGUCGGCAGACAAGUGGUGCUCGGUGCACAACACUUAUCAGCACAGCCUCGCCGACUGCCGCUCGGUCAAGAACUUGGUCGAGCGGUUUCGGAAAGCCGAUGAGAAGCGGCAGAAUCGACGGGAGGGCAAAGCCCCCGCGACCCCCGCCAAUGACUGGCGAGGGGAGGCCAAGAAGAAGGCCCCCGCCGAUGACGGCGAUGAUAGCGAGGAUCUGGAAUUCCAGAUACCUCAGGGAACCGUCGCCACUCUCGACAGGGAGGCUUGCGCUCACACCUCCCGCCGCGGUUUCAAGGUCACGAGGUGUGAGCUUCUGGCCGCCGUCCCAACUCACAAGGCGGCACGGAAGGCGCGCUGGUCGGAGGUGAAGCUCACCUUCGACCAGAGCGACCAUCCAACAAUGCUCGCUCGGGGAGGGAAGUUGGCCCUCGUGGUCUCCCCAACCAUCCACAACGUCAAGAUGAAGCGUGUCCUGGUUGACGGGGAGGCUAGCCUGAGCAUCAUCUCCCCGGCUGCUUUUGACGCGCUCAAAGCCCCGGGGAUGAAGCUCCAGCCGUCACUGCCGAUCAUCGGCGUGACCUCGGGACACGUGGCCUCUGGGUCACGUUUAGCUCCCGGUGACCUUCGGCGACUCCACCAACUUCUGUACCGAGCGGAUUGACUUCGAUGUGGCGGACCUCAAUCUGCCCUACAACGUGGUCCUGGGCAGGCCCGCGUUGGUGAAGUUCAUGGCCGCCACCCACUACGCCUACCUCCAGAUGAAGAUGCCGGGCCCCAGCGGCCCCAUCACCGUCUUUGGCGAUGUCAAGGUCGCCCUCGCCUGCGCAGAGUAGCGUGCCGACAACCUGGCGGCAGCCACGGAGCCGCAGGUCCCGAAGGCCUCCACGUCCCGCGCCUCCAAGAAGCGCCUCGCCUCGGCCGACGAGGUGCCCGUCAAGGAGAUUCCCCUUGGCGAUGAUCCAUCCAAGACCGCCAAGAUUAACGGUACCUUGGACGCCAAAUAGGAAAGCGCGCUCGUCUCCUUCCUGCGGGCGAACUCCGACGUCUUUGCGUGGAAGCCGUCGGAUAUGCCCGGGGUCCCUAGGGAGGUGAUCGAGCACCGCCUCGCCGUGCGGCCGGAUGCGCGACCCAUCCGGCAGAAAGUACGGCGCCAAGCCCCGGAGCGGCAAGCCUUCAUCCGAGAGGAGGUGACGUGGCUCCUGGAGGCCGGCUUCAUCCGAGAAGUCAUCCACCCAGAGUGGUUGGCAAAUCCAGUGGUCGUCCCGAAGGCCAACGGCAAGCUCCGGAUGUGCAUCGACUGCACGGACCUCAACAAGGCAUGCCCUAAGGAUCCCUUCCCUUUACCGCGCAUAGAUCAGAUAGUCGACUCCACUGCGGGGUGCGACCUUUUGUCGUUCUUAGAUGCCUACUCCGGGUAUCACCAGAUCCGCAUGGCUAGGGAAGAUGAGGAAAAAACUGCUUUCAAUACUCCUGUAGAAACCUUUAUUAUACAACUAUGCCUUUUGGUCUCAAGAACGCAGGUCCUACUUUUCAGCGCAUGACUCGCAUUACUUUGAGUAAUCAAAUAGGGCGCAAUAGGCGCAAUGUAGAGGCGUAUGUCGAUGACCUGGUGGUAAAGACACGCCACCAGGACACGUUGUUGCAGGAUGGCUGAGACUUUCGACAGUCUUAGGUCCACGCGCAUGAAACUGAACCCCGAAAAGUGUGUUCAGUGUGCCGGCGGGCAAACUCGGUUUUCUAGUCUCCUCCCGAGGCAUAACCCCCGCACAUCCUUCGGCUUGUGCAGGCUUGGCCGAGGGCUACCACUGUUAAUUAUGUUGUAUCUUUUCCCUUCCCCAGCAAUAAAUUUUUCCGCUCAAGCGGAGGCUAUUGCGCGCCCUUUCUUACUCCUUCCUAUGGCUCGUCCUGCUUCAAAGGAUGAUUCGCGCUUAUCCCGGACCCUAAGUGGCGUUGGGCGACCUGAAAACCGCCGAAAGGGAGCCUAAACGCGGGCCGCGCCCCGGGCUGCGGCGAACCCUGGGGGCUCGGAAGGGCCUACACACGGCCAUCCCCGACCCCCGGUCGUCGUAGCCUCGGUCUGGCCAGACCUGCUAGGCAGCUCCCUCGGGGCGACGGCAUUGCCCCUCGCCACCUAGGUGCCACGGGCCGAGCGUGAGUUUCCCUUUUCACCGGAACAAGCCCGAGGAGGGACAUAAAGAGGGUAAGAACGGCAACUUAAUCAUAAGAAAGUCAAUUGAAUACGUUCGCUUUGGUUUCUUCUUCUUUCUUUGCCGCAGACAUUCAAAGGAGAAAGCAAGAAUGUAAAGGCGCGAAGGAGAAGCUUUGUUUACAAACAGUAUGGCACGAUGACCUAAAGUUUGAAGCGUUCACCGCGAGCACAUAACAAAAUAAAAGAAGAAAAGCGGGGAUAGUCACGGAGUGCCCGGGACCCCGAGUCCGGCGCCGCUGACCACCUCGUCCCAGUCCUCGCCGCCGUCAUCGCCACCACUGUCCUCGCUCCCCUCCCCUCGUCUGAAGCAAGCGCAAGGUUGAACCGAGGGGCCGACCCCUCGAAGCUGGAGACGAUCGCGUCGGCCGCCUCCUGGACUUGCUCCCGAGCCCUCGCCUCGGUCCCCGGGGGGAAGUCCUCGAGCGCGCGCCACAGGACGAAGUCGGGGUCGCGAGCUUGAUGACUUGCGAGGACCAGUUCCACCGCAGCCCGCGCCAAAGAAGCCGACAACGACUUCACGACCUCGCCGACCUCCUCCUCCAGCCUCUCCAAAUCCGCAGCCAUCCCGUCCAGCCGGAGCGCGAGUGCCGGCUGUGUGGGCGGGAGCUUCCUGUCCCGACGCACGGAGAUGCCUACCCGGCGCCCCGCGCACUCCAGCCGUUCGACGGCGUCGGAGAGUUGGCCAGGUCCGAUCUCGUUGGUGAGGCGGAGGGCCGCAAUCUCUCCAGCUUGGUCCUGCACCAGGAGCCGCAGGUCGGCGAGGGUGCUUUGAACCGCGGUGAGUUGGCUCAUCAACUCCGCGCCGCCGGGCUGCCCGCCUGCCGCCAGCUCCUUCUCCCAGGCCUCCAGCUCGGAAGCCCUCGCCGCCAUCGCCGCGCGCUCAGCGCGGGCACCUUCUAAAUGCCGGGCCUCGCGCCCGGCAACGGCCUCCUCGCGUUUCGCGAGUUGCUCGCCCAGCCGACGCGCCGCCACCUCGCGGCGAUUCACCUCGGCCUCGCGUGCGGCAAGCGCGGUGUCCCGUUCUCGGCACGCCUCCUCCCGAAGCCGCAACCCCUUCGCGCGAUGAGCCACCGAAGCCUCUGCGGCAAGGGUGGUCUGGUUGCGCUCGGCUGCGGCCUCCUGGCGGAGGCGAAGGGAGGACUCCGCCUCGGCCGCCGUUCUCUCGGGCGGCCAAAGUGGUCUCGCGCUGGUCUAGCAUGCGCGCCCGCUCCUCCAGCACCCGAGCAUGCUCCUCCAGCUCCCGGGCUCACUGCGCCUGUUCCCGACUGCGCCCGUCCUGUUCGCACUGGUUACGGUCGAGGACCUCAAUCCGUCGAUGGAUCGUGGCCUCGAACUCCUGCGCGGAGCGGGCGCACUCGUCUAAGGCCUUGCGAUUGGCCUCGAGCGCCGCCAACCGAGCCCGCAGCGAGGCGUCGACCUCCGACGCCCGCCGCUCUUAGGCAGCAGCCGCGUCGAGGACUCCGCGGGCGUCUUCGACCCUCUUCGCCAGAUCCUCGGCGUGGGCCUCGUACUGCAAGCGAAUGUCGCCCAGCGCCUCAUCCAGUACGCUCGAAGAGAUAAGCACCGCCUGCCGCUCCUCCUCCGUCUCCCGCAUAACCGAGUCCAGCGUCUCUUCGCGCGCCUAGUUCUCCGCCAGUUGGGCUUGGCGCAUUUUGCGCCCCACCUCCACCAUGUCGUCCACGGCGCGGCGCCCCUCAUCGACUCGCGCGCGGUCCGCCGCGAGCUGCGCCCACUCCACCUCCAGGGCCGCCUGCUCGUCCGCUAGGGCUUGAACUUGGGCAUUGAGCCCCUCCAGGACGGUGGAGUCGGCAGCGGCGAGCACCUGCAGGAGUGGCUCCAUGCUCACGGGAGUCGGAGAAGAAAAAGACGGUCCGCCCCCGAGAUGACGGAGUGCUGCUGGACCCCCCGCGAGACUGGGGGCUGCUCUCGGCCCCUCUUCCGCGCGGCCAGCCCCGAGGACGCCCCAAAUGCAGAGGGGAACGGUUGCCCCCGUCACCCCCCGCCUCGGCCCCUCGGGCAGACUCGGCCUCGGCCUCGAGUUCGGGCCCGCCCCCGGCCUCAGCCUCCAGGCCGUGCCCCGCCUCGGCCCCCGGAGCGUGUUCCACCUCGGACUCCGAGCCACGACCUGCUUUGGCCUCCGCCCCCGAGUGGCGCUCCUCGUAGGUCGCGCCCUCGGGAUCGCCCCCGGGGGGACGCCGUCGCCGUUGCUAUCACCCGCGGAUGGUUGCACCUCGGCUGUGGCGGGCUCGGAACCAGACCCGGCGUGUGGCCCGGGGGCCCCACCAGGGUACUGCGAAGGCCCCGUGACACCGGGUUGGCCGGGUCCCGGUCGAUCCCACCGCUCGGAUUUUGACCCCUACAAGGGAUCGGACGCCGAGACCCCCUGGGAAGGAAUCCCGCUACAGGAGAACCCCAAUCACGUUAAAAAAAAAAGAAGAGGAAGGAACAGGAGGCCGAGAUGGAUAGAGAGCACCGAGUCGGAUGCUGGCGAUCAUUCCUGCGAGGAGGGCGUUUGAAGGUCCACUUCCGGGGCUCGAUGAAGCUCCCCCGGCACGGCUCCGUUUGCCCUAUCUUCCGGAGCCGCUUCUUCCGUCCAGCCUCGGACGCGGCGGGGCGUUUGUGGCCCGCCGGUGGUCGGUCCGCCGUUCGCUCGGCGCCCCCUCCACGCGGGGGAGAAGGCAGCCGAGAUUCGAACGCCUUCCGCUUCCCUUUCGGGUCGCCGGCCGAGUCCCCCCCGGGUCCAUGGCUCGGACCGGGCGCCCAGGAGCCGACGCCCCCGCCGGAGCCGCCGGCCCGGCUGCCGCCUACGGUCGCGCCGCUGCUACCCGCGCCGUCGCCGCCACCACCGGCGCCGCUCCGGCGGGACCGACCCCUGCCAGCACCGACUGCCGACAUCACAGCCAGGAUACUCUCCCGGUCGCGGUCGCUGCAGAGGGGGAGGAUCCCGUCCGGAAUCAGCGUUUGCUUGAUAGUGUCCAGGCCCAGCACUCGCCGGAUCACCGUCUUCGCGUCCUCCUCGCCCCAGUCCCAGCGCUCACCCACGUGGGUGCGCAUGGGAUCGUUGUGCCCAGUAUACUCCCACGCGCCGCGGGACCGCUCCUGGAGAGGCGCGAUGCGACGGCGGUAGUCGCCGAACACCAUCGCCCCCGUUAAGCCUUAGCUUCGCAGGCCCCUGAGGCGAUCCCGCACGGCGUCGUACUCCUCGCCCAGUUCCGAAACUGCCAACCACGCGGCGGAUCGUUCAGGAGGGCCGACGGGGAGCCGAAGUCGCGGAUGAUCCGGUAGCGCGGUGUAGAACCAAUCCUUCUUCCAAUCCUCCCACUUCUUGCAGAGGUGGCUCUCGAUGUACUACCCCGCCAUUCCCGGCCGGGGCUGGAGGUAGCAUCCUCCCACCGCCGCGCCUUGCUGCAGCUGCGGGAUGAAGAAGGACUGGAACAGCCGCAUCGUCGGCCGCACCCCGACAAACAUCUCGCACAAGUGCGCGAAGAUGACCAGCGUCAUCACGGCGUUGGGUGCGAGAUGCAAGGCUUGAAUCUCGUAGAAAUCCAAAACCUCAUGGAAGAACCUGGAAAAUGGCGGGAUCAACCCCACCAUGGCGAAGGACAGGAGGUGCACGGAUCGCUCUGGAUACCACGGCCGCGGCCGUGACUCCCCCACCCUCACGGCGGCGUCCUCCGGCAUGAUCUUGCGGACGAGGCUAAGAUGCAUCUCUGCCGUGAUGCGCGACGCCGGGAGCACAGCGUCACCAGCGUCAUGGGCCAUGGUGACCGGCGGGGAAACGACGAGGAGCUUGGUGUACAGAAUGGCGUGGAGCGAGAGAAGCGAUGGGGCUUGAAGAACGAGUGAGCGGGCGAGCAGUCGGCGAGAAGAAGGGGACGAACUCGCCCCCUUAUCCUUUUAUCCCCGCCUCGCCCGCGCUCGUCUCCUCGUUUCACGCCCCCGCGGUUGUCUCCUCGAUUCAUGCGCCUCAUCGUUUCUCGCGUCCACUCAUCACGUCGCCCACUGAAUCCGCGCCCCGCGUUCAGUGAACCUGUCAGCGGCACACUCAGCGCGGGGCGUGCGAUGUUCGUGGGCGCGGAUUAGGCGGGCCCGCCGUCGGUCCCGUCGCGUGCCUGGCAGGCGAGGGAGUCGAGGCGGCGUGGCUGACGAUUCUGGGCGUGGUCUGGUCGACCCCCCGAUUUUCGCGCCUUAGGCGCCCCCAUCAUCAGCGCGGUUAAUGGCGGUCAAAUCGCCAUUAUGGCUAAUGCGCCAGCCUGGCCGCGCGGCGGCAACCGUCAGGAUUCCCCGUCGGGCCCACAACCUCGGCACGGGAAGACGUGAGGCGCCACGUCAGACUGCCCUCACAAGGCCGAUGUCCGACGUGGUGCCGGGGGCUACUGUCGGAGAUAUGGGCCCGGGGGUAUGCAAAGUGAGGGGAAGUUACCUUCCCAUCCAGCCACAUGGCUCUACAGCCUGGCCCUACCCCCGCACCUCGUGAGUCGCAGGUCGCAGAAGCGGCUGGGGGGCCUCGGGGUGCCACGUCAUGCCCCUCGAGCUCUCGCGUUGCCUUGCCCCGAGGCCCUCCCCCAGCUGCUAUGUGGCGGGGGGAGCGAGGGGAGGAAGCCCAGGCUGAACAGCCAUCAAUGCGCGGCACCCCAACUAUCCCUCACCGCGUUUAAUGCGGUAAGGACGGACGUGCGGUGCCGCACCACUGAUCCACGUCAAUCGGGUCUGACUAGUCUGUGACCGGCCUGUCGCCGGUCACGUUCGACUGAACGGGCGGCAGUGCCCCCACGUCGCCUCUGUAUCCGGCGAAGUGGAGGUAGGUAUGUCCCGUCCCAUCGAAACGUCAUUCGGAGUUCCCUCCGUGAGAGGAGGAUCGCCACAAGUCUUCACCCAUUUAUGAGGGAAUGACAGGGCUGUCCCCCGUGUCAGGCGGGGGGGGUGCGUUGGGUCCCGCUCAAGGACGGACUGCUGCUUAGCUUCCGGGCGAAGGCACAGGUCGCAGUCCGGUCAAGGUAGAGUGGGUCCCCCUCUCGUAGAAGAGUAGGUAGAGGCGGUGCAUGCGGUAUCCCCUUGAACUAUAGAAGGAGGACCUUGCCCACCGAGAAAAGGAGCGACUCUCAGUAAGCCUGAACUCUAGGAGAAGAGAAGUGGGAGCGCUCUCCGGAGUUUAGGAACCCUUGUAACACUCAGCCAUAAUCUCACACACAGGAGUAGGGUAUCGCGCUCCAUAGCAGCCCGAACCUGUAUAAUCUUAGUGCCCACACGCGUUUUAGUAGCAUUGAGGGCGGAUUCGCGAUCUCCCCACGCGAGCCUUUUCCCCCGGCCGAACUCACUAAAGGGGAUCUCACGA
rnacentral:lncRNA from 1 species